rnacentral:misc_RNA from 1 species
CCCUUCCAUUAAAGCUCUUCAUAAAACAGUAAUACAAGUUACCCAAAAGCUUUAAUGGAAGGGUGUGAGCAUUACAUAUGUUUAAAACUGAAUUACUGAUUUAUACCAAAAAAUAAAAAAUUGUUGCAUUCAAUUAAUUCCAUUUGGAUUUUAACACAACGGUACCAUUCGUUGUUUAAUUUCAGGUUUUUUUAAUGUAUAAAAUCUAAAUAACAAAAUUAACUAAAUUUCAGUUCAUAAUUUA